rnacentral:lncRNA from 10 species
UUCUAGCUCCUCUUCUCAUUAGUGAUGUAAUUCCCUCAGGAAUCUCCUCAUAAAGAAAGACAUCUGUUUCCAUUUUCUUCUUAGAGGAACAGGAUCUCUAUACAUCAUUGAAUAGAUUAGUGUCAUGAGUGUUAGCACUUUCCAUGAAGCACAAUCCCAAAGACCAUGAAAAAUUGAGAUCCGCAGAGGAGAGGAUGGAAAGUGUUUCCCCCACACCACAGGGUGUUUUACUGCUGCUGCUGCUGUUUAAGGCUACUCUACCACUUGCAAGCUGCUGUUUCUGACCUUCUGGAGUUUGGAGGAAGGAAGAAAAGAAAAAGAAGAAAAGAAAGUUUUUAUUUUACUGGAUGUUUUAUUGCUAGAAUCAAGGGAGAGAGGCUUUGUUAACAGGAGUCACCGUUGCAUCUUUUCAACAAAGUUGACUCUCUCCCUACAAAGGAAAGUUUGUAUCAGCUACUGAGAAGACUUGGACUGGAACUUACUUCACCAGAUCUCAUGGUUCUUGGGCCUUCAGACUCAGGUUGGAACUAUGCUAUCAGCUUUCCUGGAUCUCCAGCUUGCUGACUACACAAUCUAGGACUUCUCAGCCUUUGUAAUUGUGAGGAACAAAUUGUUCUACAGAAAAUGAAGGAAACUCCAAAUGUUCAAGAGACUGGGGAUGAUAUAUGAAAGCUUUCACCAUUAGCUCCUGCACAUACUUAUAUACUGAAUAGGACCAUGAAAAAGUGCUUAAGCUCAAACAGAAUGUUAAGAUAGAACAAAAUUCCAUUUUGUGGGAGACUAUCCACACAGUCACAAUGUGGGCUGGACUUAUCUAAUGAUCUGGAGCUCUGAGGAAUACUUCUAUGAUUAUGUGAAGAAGCCUGGGCUAGCCUGCUGAAGGAUGAAGGACCAUGUAGAAAGCAGCCUCAGCUAUUCCAGUUGAGUCACCAGACGUGUGAAUGAGAUGAUCCUAUACAUCAGCCUCAGCUUAGUUGCCUUUGCCAGAAUUUCUCAACCAAACCUAAGUAUUAUGAAAAGUAAUAAUUAUUUGUUAAAUUUGGCCAAUACAUAGUACAUCUUGGGGUGGAUUGUUACCAGUUAGCCAACACUAAGUGGUAUACCAUGUCAUGCUAUACUUAUUUCUUUUCCUUAGGAAAUUGACAAAGUGUUUUACUGAUGUUAACUUGGAAUGCAUUUAAAGACAAAAAAAGGAAAACCUUAAUCCAACAUUGACAUUUCAUUCCUGCAUCUUUAAUGGUUUGAUCAGAAUAAUCAGUGACUCAUAAUUAUAAUGGAUGCAUAAGUGGGCACAUUUUGAUAUUAAAAAAGUGAGGUAAUAUACACAUUACUAAAUAUGAUAAUGCUAGUGAUUUUCCUACUCAACUUAUGUUUAAGGACAUGUCACCAAUAGUGGUAUUCAACUUCAUUUGAAAUUCAAAACAUUAAAGUUAAUUUUUAAACAUUUUUAUUGAGUUGAAGCUAGAGAGUUGAAGAAAAAAUAAGAAAAUUAAGAUUUCACUUCAUAUACAUGUAAUGGAUGUAUUUUGUGGUAAUGCAGUUUUAGUGUUUAGACCACUAUGAAACUAGUAAGAUAGUGGUUUUAAGUGUUGAUCUAGUUAUUUUGAACCUAUAGCUUUGAAAAUGCAUGAAGCUCAUUUUAACAUAAAAUAUAUGGUUUUAAGAUGAAUUCUUCCUCAUAUUGCAUUCUUUCCUCCCUCUACCAGUUUCCUCUCUAUAGGUAUUUGUAUAUAUAUUGACUCUUAGACAAAUUGAGUAGAUAUUAUAUCUGAGUCAACAAAUGUGUAUAUAGACACAUGAACACUAAGAAAGGGCAUUAACAUUUCUAAAAUACGUCAGAUGUACUGACAUAA